AUUGAACGCUGGCGGCAUGCUUUACACAUGCAAGUCGAACGGUAACAGGUUAAGCUGACGAGUGGCGAACGGGUGAGUAAUGUAUCGGAACGUGCCCGGUCGUGGGGGAUAACGUAGCGAAAGCUACGCUAAUACCGCAUACGAUCUGUGGAUGAAAGCGGGGGACCGUAAGGCCUCGCGCGAUUGGAGCGGCCGAUAUCAGAUUAGGGAGUUGGUGGGGUAAAGGCCCACCAAGCCAACGAUCUGUAGCUGGUCUGAGAGGACGACCAGCCACACUGGGACUGAGACACGGCCCAGACUCCUACGGGAGGCAGCAGUGGGGAAUUUUGGACAAUGGGGGCAACCCUGAUCCAGCAAUGCCGCGUGCAGGAAGAAGGCCUUCGGGUUGUAAACUGCUUUUGUACGGAACGAAAAGGCUCUGGUUAAUACCUGGGGUUUAUGACGGUACCGUAAGAAUAAGCACCGGCUAACUACGUGCCAGCCGCCGCUGUAACAC
rnacentral:rRNA from 1 species